rnacentral:rRNA from 1 species
CAAAAUGAGAGUUUGAUCCUGGCUCAGGACGAACGCUGGCGGCGUGCCUAAUACAUGCAAGUCGAGCGAGCUUGCCUAUAGAAGUUCUUCGGAAUGGACAUAGAUACAAGCUAGCGGCGGAUGGGUGAGUAACGCGUGGGUAACCUGCCCUUAAGUCUGGGAUACCAUUUGGAAACAGAUGCUAAUACCGGAUAAAAGCUACUUUCGCAUGAAAGAAGUUUAAAAGGCGGCGUAAGCUGUCGCUAAAGGAUGGACCUGCGAUGCAUUAGCUAGUUGGUAAGGUAACGGCUUACCAAGGCGAUGAUGCAUAGCCGAGUUGAGAGACUGAUCGGCCACAUUGGGACUGAGACACGGCCCAAACUCCUACGGGAGGCAGCAGUAGGGAAUCUUCCACAAUGGACGCAAGUCUGAUGGAGCAACGCCGCGUGAGUGAAGAAGGUUUUCGGAUCGUAAAGCUCUGUUGUUGGU